rnacentral:rRNA from 2 species
UACGUAGGUGGCAAGCGUUGUCCGGAAUUAUUGGGCGUAAAGCGCGCGCAGGCGGUUUCUUAAGUCUGAUGUGAAAGCCCACGGCUUAACCGUGGAAGGUCAUUGGAAACUGGGAGACUUGAGUGCAGAAGAGAAGAGCGGAAUUCCACGUGUAGCGGUGAAAUGCGUAGAGAUGUGGAGGAACACCAGUGGCGAAGGCGGCUCUUUGGUCUGUAACUGACGCUGAGGCGCGAAAGCGUGGGGAUCAAACAGG